UCGCAAGAAUUUCCUAAUCUUUUUCUUUAGAAUAUGCACGAACAUAUACAUAUGUACAUAUAUAAAGAUUGUAUUUCGUUAAACGUUCAUAACAUUCAUUCAAAUCAUAUUUAAGUAAUACUGAAAAUGAAUACAUAAAGGGAAAUAAAUGAGGGGAAUCCUCAAAACGCAUUAUGCAAUAUUUGCUUCAAUUAUGUGCAUAUCUAAGCUCUCAAAAGAGAGGCUUGAAAGAAGGCACAAGAGAGCAACAGUUAGAGAGUUCAAGUAGCCGUUCUAAUAAUUUCGUUUAAUAGUGAAAUGGCCGUUAUACAUACAUUCAUAUAUCUAUGGCAAAACAUAUAAUUUUCAAACAUAAUGACAAUGCUAUUCAACCGUUUAUUUCUUGUUAGGAACAGCUGAUUGCCGUUUUGUAUUUGUUUAUAUAAUAACGCUUUGUUGACGUACACAAAUCACAGCUAAAAAGCAACAAAUGGCAUAAUUUCGUACGCAUUUUUUGGCGUUUAUUUAUAGGCGGCAAACAAAGAGCGCAGUUAAUGUGUCAGUGUGUGUGUGCCAAACAUACAUAUGUACUAUGUACUUUCGAACAUAUGUAUGUCUUGUUUGUAUUUUGGCAAACCAAAACAAACAGAAAAUUUGCAUAUUAUGCGCACAUUAACUUGUUUCCAUUGGAGUGGCGGUUCUGUCGAGUGUUUGCUGAAUAGAAGCUUCCAGUUACCCACAGAAGCUCUGGAAAAAGGACUUGCAGAAGAUGGAUGAGUCACACGCAAGGCUUGGGAAAAUGCAUCCAGCCAAUGAGGUGAUGCACCGCAAUGAGGUGAUGCACUAUGUUGAUAUUCUGCCGGUGAUUUCCUUCGCAGCGUUGAAAGCUUUCAAAAGAAUUUGUUAUAAUGUUUAAUUAAUGAUAAUGUAAUUUUUUUGUUUUAUUAAAAAUGUGUUAGGCGCUAUUUAUAUGCUGAUUAGUGUUUUGAACCUACGCAUGUUGCGAACAUAUUGAUUAUACCUAAACAAAGAGGAUUAAGUAUCUAUAUAAGACUACUCGUAUAACUCUACAAUUCAUGUUUCCUUCUGCACUCCGGCUUGGCUUUGUUGUUCCAACAGAGGGCCUCACAAAAUUUGCUUUAAAAAUACGUAAGCUUGUAUAAUUCGUUUAAUAAAUCGGCUGAACCUGCACUAUAACAUGACAUUUAAUAUAUAAGUAUAUAUUUAGCUAAAAAUACAAAUUUUUAUAUGUUCAACAUGCUUUUAACACUUCACCAACAGGCGUUUUACUUUUCAAUAGAAAUAGGAUUAUUUUUGUUGUUUCAUUGACUUUGUACUUAGUUUCUAAACAGUUUGUAUAUAUAAAUAUAAAAAUGAGUGUG